CCAUACUAUAUUUACUAUAUUUAUCAGAAAUUAGUCUUUUAAUCAUUUGUCAAGAAGUACUCGUCGAGGAGAAGGUUUGUACAAAGAUGUUUUUGUAUUUAUGAAAUGUCAAAAACCUUCGCCUCGCACAAUUCUCAAUGGCUUAUUGCAUUUACUCACCACAAAUAUAAAAGUUUGAUUUACCUUAUUUCUGCUGAUCCAACUGAUUUGAACUCCUCAAUGCUUCUAAAUGCCUCAGAAAUUUUUUUUUUUUUUGUUUUGCUGGGAGAGGUUGUGACCACCAUGCUUUGUCAGUAUGUUUUGAUAA
rnacentral:lncRNA from 1 species